UACUUUUAUUUUGAAAAUAUGACGACAUCCUGUUGAAAAUACCUUUAUUUUGAAAAGACGAGGAUAUCCUGUCGACAUGUGCUUAGCUUUCGGUGCUUCAAUUCAGUUCGCUAUGUAUAGGAUUUCAGAAAAACAAUUCUGUGUCGGUUAAAUCGACGGUCGUUAAAAUCGGGUUAAAUCGGGGUGUAAGCGCUCCCGGUUAGGAAUGCACGGUUCAUCUCAGCACCAUUUUCCCGGUUGCUAACUGGUCUCAGUGAAAUGGAUAUGAUGGUGAAAUGGCUCCCUCCGGUUCAAAUAUUGAGCAGCAAGCGUUUGACGGUAUUAAUACAUCGGCCGCGAUUGAUCCAGACAUUGCAGCCGAUGGUAAAACAAGAUCCAUCUCCAACAUUUUUUAUGAGAAAUCAAAAUUUUAGAUUUUUUUUAUGUUUAUGAGAAAUCACAUUUUUUUUUAGAUUUCAUACAAUUUAAUUAUGAGGACUCAAGAAAAUUUCAUCAUAAACCAAAUUUACCUCUUUAUAUAAGAGUAAUUCCCAUGUCAUUAUAAAAUUUUGUGCUCUGAUAAAUCAUAUAAACAAGCAUGCACAUACAUAAACAUUUCAAACUAAAGAGAGACUUAUCUCUAUUUUAAAUGGUAAUAUAUGCCAUGAUAGUAACAUUACUGAAACAAAUAAUUUAUCAUACAUUUAAACAUGUAUUCAGCUGAUUGAUCUUAUAAAACACUAUUCACUUAUUUUAAAGAAGUUAAUUAAUAUAUUGUAAUUACAUAUAUAACACGCUGUAUAAAAUAAACAUUUAAUAUAGUUUUAGGUCACAAUUAAUACGGCUUACAUUUUUCUGUGAACAAUGAUGUCCAUUCCGUGAAUGAAAUGUUUCCAAUAAAAUAAAACGCAUUUAUUUUAAGUUGAAAUAUUAACAAAACGUCCCAGAUCGUCCCAGGGUUAAACACCAUUCUGAAAUGAAUGUUUCAGACCCACUCAGAGGAGGGGGUAGUUACAGACCAGAAGAUCUGAGGUGUUAUUCUGUUAACCUUUUUUCAAACCGAAUGUUAUGGCUGUGUUAAUAAUGAAUUCAAAGCCUAAUCUUAAGACUUUAAAUAAACAUUUUUUUUUCCUUACAUUUCCUGUGAUUUUUGCUUACAUUUCAAUUAAAGUAUAAUUUAUUCCACAUCAAUCGCUUCAUAAGUUUCUUAUUUUAAGUAUCAUCUUCAAUGUUUUGAUCACCUCUCACAUGUGAUGAAACAUUUAAUCAAAGUCUUUCUUUAUGUUUAAAUAUAGAACGAAAAAUAUUUAUCUUGUUUUAAAUGGAUGCGAAGGAUCCUGUUUGUUUGUAACAGCGCAGACGUGACACCCAUGUCACCUCAAACAACGUCUCAAAUAUUUAGAUGAAGUUAAUGUAUCUUUUGGAAAAAAUAUUUUCAGAAAAAGACCCUCGAUUCUAUUCAGUCAUUAAAGAUGGUUCGGGCAGAUAGCUUUAUGCCUUUGUGGACCCAUGCAUUGAAUGUUUCACAUAUGGAGAAUUGAUUUAGCUGAUGCUUGUAUGUAAUUCGAGAACUUUGACCUUUACUACCAUUAGGCUAUGUUAUGCUUCAUUUUAAAAAGUGUGUGUAAACACAAUAUAGAGUUUUCACAUAUGGAGCAAAUAAAGCUGUGAAAUAGUCAUUAUCUGGCUUUUGCUAUGGUCGUAAACUUUACACAUACCGCUGAUAUUUUCACAAACAGAACGGAAGAGUCAUUUGAAGGCUCUCUGUCGCUGUUCAAAAAAUAACACUAUUAGAAGGCAAAGAGCUUAGUUUCAGCAGUCACAUUUUAAAGUACUUUUACUCGUUUAUAAAUCACUCAAUGGCCUAUGACCUAUAUACAAUGCAAAUAUAUGCUUGCUGAAUAUAAACCUAACAGACCACUCAGAUCAUUAGGAUCAAGUCAGAAGUUACAAACACCAAGGUUUCACUCAAAACAAGGGGAGUCCACUUUUAGCUAUUAUGCCACCCGCUGUCGGAAUCAUCUUCCAGCAGAGAUCAGAUGUGCUAAACAUUAGCCAAAUUCAAAACUCAUCUGUUUAGC